UUAGCAGGUCGCUCUAUCGCUUCCAAUGUAAAUUGGGAGAGGAAAGUCCGGACACCAUAGUGCAGUAUAGCGGGUAAUGCCCGUCCGCCGAGAGGUGAGGACAAGUGCAACAGAAAGGAUGUACAGGUAAUGCUGUAGUGAAACCAGGUAAACUCUAUGCGGUGCAACGUCAUGUAAAUCAGUGUUUGAGGGCUGCACGCCCGAGCUGAAGGGUAGGCGGUUUGAGCUUUUGGGCAACCAAAGGCCUAGAUAAAUGAUAGGGGGUUCCUGAUAACUCAGGAUGAACAGAAUCCGGCUUAUGACCUGCUUUUUUU
rnacentral:RNase_P_RNA from 2 species